rnacentral:miRNA from 1 species
CCGAAAGACUCGUCAAAGCUAGGCAAGAUGUUGGCAUAGCUGAAUGCAAACCGCGCUCAGCUCGGCCACAUACUGCCACGCAUUGGCUAGAGUCUAAUUUUUAUACAUACGG